AGAAAUCAGUGGCAACUAGGACGAGUAGUUGACACUGUUCAAGGCAGUGAUGGAUUGGUCCGUUGAGCCAAAGUUCAAGUCGGUGAACGAAAGUCAAAUUCUUCUUCUAAACUUUCAAUUAUUGAGAGGCCAAUUCAGAAUUUAGUUCUUCUUUUGGAAAAUUGAUGAGAAAAGAUGAACAACUUUUGUACAGUUUGUUUAUUUCAUGGUAAUUUUAUGCAACCAUAUUUAGUCUACAUUAUUUAGUAGAGUAAAAAUCCUGUUCAAUUCAUUUACUCUUUAUGUAUUACUUUGUUCAUUCAUUGUAACAGGAUUUGGUGGGAGUGUAAAUAACUGCUUAAUUGGAAAAUUCUCCUUGUUCAUUGGUCCAACAGUGACUCCUAGUGGUUAAUUUAUGCUUUCAUUUAAAGAACGGUAGAUUUCUUCUUUGUUUAUUCUGUGGUUACCUAGCAACACCCUGCGAGACGAAACAACAUUAGAUUAUAAAGAAACCCGGAGAAAAUCUUUAAAAUAGCGCCCUCGGAAAGCAGAAUGAGUUUUCACGGUGUCAAUGGAAAGAAAGGUUGAGAUUAAAUUGCACCCGUUUGAAACUCCCUGCGUCUGGCUGUUCAAUCUGAGAGGCCGCUACAGUGAAAACUCAAUGCAAGAGACCAGAUCUUUCUGCAGUGAAGCUGACACCAUCCCAUCUGGAACGAAGCUGUCUCCUCCCGCACCAAUGAUCUCACACAGGCAAGAUAAAGCAUAAAGUUAAAACGGACAAUCACAAGAACAAGCUCACAGCAUAACUGAAUUGGCGUAGUGUCAAGGGAUAGUU